ensembl:lncRNA
GCUACACUUGAUACUUCCAAGGCUGAUUUCCUCCAAGCUCCCCUUUCUUCACCUCCUUUGCCCUAGGCUUUCAUAAAGCCAGACAGAGAAAAAGGAAUUUCACUUCCCAAAUGCUAGAACUGCUGGUGCAGAACGUAACUAAAUAUCAGCAGCUGUGCCAGGGCACCUGGGGCCAUAUAAGGAGACUGACAAAAGACUUAGUUAUGAACAAGAUCCCAGUUCUCUGCUCAUCAUGGCUUCAUGUGCUUCAAGAAGGGCAGGAAGAAUCGGAGAUUUGCAGCUACGCUCUUUUUUAAAAAUGUGUAUGAGAGACAUUCUUAGGAAAAAGGAUAAAACAGAUAUUCCUAAAGCAACAAAGUGGGACAGACGUAAUGUCAAUGUUUCUCCUGACUACUGCUUCCAACUUUAAUGCGUAAAUAUUCUAUCACCUGGGGAUUGUGUAAGAUACAGAUUGUGAACCAGUAGGUCAGGGGUAGGGCCUCAGAAUCUGCAUUUCUGACAAGCUCCCACAGGAUAUUGGUGCAGCUAGUCUGAGGACCAUAUUUUAUUUUUUAAGUUUUUUUUUUUUUUUUUUUUGAUGUGGACCAUUUAUAAAGUCUUUAUUGAACUUGUUACUCAUGUGUGCUACAUGUGUGUUACAACUUUUGUUUUAUGUUUUGGUUUUCUGGCCAUGAGAUAUGUGAGAGCUUCCAGACCAGGAAUUGAAUGCAUACCCAUUUCAUUGGAAGGCAAAAUCUUAACCACUGGACCACCAGGGAAGUCUCUGAGGACCUCAUUUUAAAUAAUUAGGGGCUAGACCAAUUUACUGGCCUUUCAAAUACUUGCCCCUCAAUACUAUUUCAAAGAAGUUUCAUUUAAGAAUUCUUACUCAACUCAACAAGAGCUCUCCUGAAGACAAGCACUGCAUAUUCUAGCUCCCUGGUAGAUCUCUUAGCACCUAGCAUGGCGCCAUCAGCAGAACAAAAAAGAUGAAGUAACUAAGUUUCAGAAGCAAACCUUUCCAGAGGCAAUGCAGCACAGAUACAAGGAAGAAGACCUAGGUUCAAGGACAAUUUGUGAUAUCGGCAGAAAAGCAAUCUGCCAGCCAUCAGUGCUAAUCAGCAUCUCCCUAGUUAUAUUUCUGCUCUGGGGACAUCAGCACUGCACAGCUCCAUCUCUUUGGAUAUUUGAACUAGGACUACAUUGUUUAUUUGUGAUUUGUGAUUAUCUUCUCCUU